GCAACGAGCGCAACCCCUAUUGUUAGUUUGCCAUCAUUCAGUUUGGGCACUCUAGCGAGACUGCCGGUAAUAAACCGGAGGAAGUGGGAUGACGUCAAAUCAUCAUGCCCUUAUGACCUGGGCUACACACGUGCUACAAUGGUUGGUACAACGAGUUGCGAGUCGGUGACGGCGAGCUAAUCUCUUAAAGCCAAUCUCAGUUCGGAUUGUAGGCUGCAACUCGCCUACAUGAAGUCGGAAUCGCUAGUAAUCGCGGAUCAGCACGCCGCGGUGAAUACGUUCUCGGGGUUU
rnacentral:rRNA from 1 species